rnacentral:rRNA from 1 species
UACGAAGGGGGCUAGCGUUGCUCGGAAUCACUGGGCGUAAAGCGCACGUAGGCGGAUUGCUAAGUCAGGGGUGAAAUCCUGGAGCUCAACUCCAGAACUGCCUUUGAUACUGGCGAUCUCGAGUUCGGGAGAGGUGAGUGGAACUGCGAGUGUAGAGGUGAAAUUCGUAGAUAUUCGCAAGAACACCAGUGGCGAAGGCGGCUCACUGGCCCGAUACUGACGCUGAGGUGCGAAAGCGUGGGGAGCAAACAGGG